rnacentral:misc_RNA from 1 species
GAUGAAGAACGUAGUGAAAUGCGAUACGUAAUGUGAAUUGCAGAAUUCAGUGAAUCAUCGAAUCUUUGAACGCACAUUGCGCCCAUUAGCAUUCUAGUGGGCAUGCCUGUUCGAGCGUCAUUUCAACCCUUAAGCCCUGUUGCUUAGCGUUGGGAGCCUACAGUACUGUAGCUCCCCAAAGUUAGUGGCGGAGUCGGUUUCACACUCUAGACGUAGUAAUUUUUUCUCGUCUGUAGUUGAGCCGGUCCCCUGCCGUAAAACACCCAAUUUAUCAAGGUUGACCUCGGAUCAGGUAGGAAUACCCGCUGAACUUAAGCAUAUCAAUAAGCGGAGGA